AUGGCAGAGCGCGGCACACCGCUUUCCACACCGCGGCCAAUCCGCGCAGCGGCACGUGGCACGCCCGCCCCUGCAGGCUAUCCAAUCAGCUGCGGGUGGCUGCCACAUCUACCCCAGUCGGGGCCACUGCAGCCACUCUGUAGACGGUCGCUGCGCCCUGCACGCGCAGCAGCUCGCGCAGCUCUCUCCUCCCAGCCGCGGGUCCCCUCAGUGCCGCGCUCUCUUCGCGGCCACGCUCUUCACGACUUGGCUCUUCUCAGGCCGCGGUCCUUGGGCCGCGCUCUGCUCAGGCUGCGCUCGUCUCUUCAAGAUGCUCCUCUGGCCGCGCACUCCACAGCCGCAGUCACCUCAGUGCCGUGCUCCUCACGCCGCUCUCCCUUCAGCGCACUUCGCAGGCUGCGCUCUCCUCACCGAGAAGCCCCUCCGGCCGCUCUCCUCACGGCCGCGCUCCUCACGGCUGCGCUCACCUCACCGAGUCGCCGCUCCUCACGGCCGCGCUCCUCACGGCUGCGCUCACCUCACCGAGUCGCCGCUCCUCACGGCCGCGCUCCUCACGGCUGCGCUCACCUCACCGAGUCGCCGCCCGACCGCGCUGCUCACGGCUGCGCUUACCUUAGUGCCGCCGUCUUCGUGGCCACGAUCUCCUCACAGCCGUCUGGGCUCACAGUGCUCUGGGCGUGGUCCGCCUGGCGGCGCGGGACUGGCAAUCGCCGACUAGCCGAGGUGAGCUCAGUGUCUCGUGGGUGGGUGGUAGGCGACUAGGUCGCCACGGUCGCCCGGGCAGAGCCGGGCAGGCGCUCGCUGUUCGCUGUGCGCCUACGUGGGUGCAAGAACCGCGUCGUGCUUCCGAGUCAGGGACGCAGGAUCGAGAAUGGGAGGAGAGUCAGGGUCCGAGUCCAGGGCUGGACCUGUGUCUGGAGGCCACCUCGCCGUUCUGCUUCGGGGACCCAGGUCCGAGUCCCGGUCUCGGUGCGGGUCGGGGCUCCGAGUCCGUGAUCGGAUCCGGGUCUGUUCGCGCCUUAAGAUCGGAAUUCUGAGUCGCGUAGCUGAGUCCACCUCACGGCUCUUGCGUGUGGGGUCCGAGUCAGGGGUCGGAGUCCGCGACUGGAGUCCGCCUCACGGUCUCGUCGGUGAUCUAAGGGGCCGAGGGCCUGGGACAGAACCCGUUGAGUCCAGGGUCCGAGGCUGAGGCGGGGUCAGGGUGAGUGUGGUGUCCGCCCUGUGGUUCUGGGCGCCCUGGAGGCCGAGUCGGGAUCCGAUUUCCAUGGAAGCGCUCCAGGGCGGUCGUCCCAGUUGGGGACUCGAGCCGAGGCAGGGAUCUGUGUCUGGGUUGGGAUUUGCGGCUGCGAGUCGGAGAUCGGAGUUGCGGUUAGAAGUCCGGGCUGGGAAUCCGAGCCAAGAGUUUCUAGGUGCAGUGGAAAUUCUGAGUCAAAGGUCGGUCGCGAUUUUGGGGUCAGGAUCUCAGGUCCAGGUUGGGUUGGGGUGGGGUGGGAGGAGGGAAUAGAAAUUGUGGCCACAGAAGUUGUGGCGAUGGAGGUUGAUGACUCAGGUCAGGGGUUUCAGUGUGGGCAGUAGCUGGGACAGUCUCACUGCCACCCCCACUGCUCCUCUGGUGCCUUUUCUGUAAAAUAGAGGUUAAGUGCCUUCCCAUAGGACUGUUCUGGGGAUGAGAGAGAAUCAUUCAUCCACACAGAAUACUUUGACCUAGAUUGAGUGUUGCAAAGUACAAGAAUGUUGCUAGUAAUAGUAAAACUACAUUUGAGGUGUGUUUCCCAGUCCCUUUCCUGGUUGCCUCACGCCUGUCUGGGCAGAGAGCUCCCAGAAGGGACAUUUCUGGUCUGUUCUCCACUGCCUAACCAGGAGCCUGAUAUACAACCUUGCUCAGGCAAUACUCCUUGAAGGAAAGCAGGCAGGCAGGAUUAACCAGAUUUCUAUGGUGUCUCAAAUGAUCCAUUUCUGCACCUGUUUUCCAGAUACUCACUAGGAGAAAAAUUUAAGGAUUGAGUUGCUUGAUUACAGUUCUAUUUUAAUGUGUUUCCAAACAUGUUGAAGAGAAAAGUGGGCCUGUUUCAGGAUUUAUGCUCCAGCUAGAGGAUCUUUUUAAAUUGUGAAUCAGAGCAUGUCCAAAUUCAAAUAAGGAAAGCACAGGAAAAUUAUGAACUAUUUCCUUAUUAACAUAGGUGCAGAACUCCCAUGUACAGCAUUAGCUAACUGAAUCCAACAGUAUAUUAAACAAUUCUUAAACAAGUGGGAUUUCUCCUAGGAAUGCAAAUAUGAUCCAGUAUCAGAAAUUCUAUCCAUGUAAUUCACCACAUUAAGAAACUAAAGGAGAGAAACCAUAUGGUUCUCAAUAGAGGCAGAAAAACUAUAUGAUAAAGCUUAAUGCCUUUUAUGAUUUGGGGAGGGCACCAUUAACUAGCUAAGACUAGAAGGAACUUCCUAAACUGAUACAAGUCAUAUACAGAAACUUUACUUUUCAACAAACUCAACAGAGAAAACGAAAGUGUAUAGUUCCUUUAAGAUAAGGAGUACACUUGGGAUGCCAUCCUGGCCAUCCCCAGUACAGGAAAAGCAAAGGAAAUGUAAGGAGAGAGCUAAAGAGAAAGACAAAACUGCUGAUCGAAGUUAGAUUGUUUGUGUCAGGGUUCUUAAACAUUUUUGUUUUAGGACCCUUUGUACUUUAAAAUUACUGAAGUCCCUAAAGAGCUUUUGUUAAUAUGGGUUGCAUCUGCUGAUAGUUACCUUCUUAGAAUUUAAAACUGAGAAAUGCUUAAAACAUAGGAUAGUACAAGCACAUAUUCCAGUGGGGUCCUGCUGCCUCUGGAAAACUCUUUAACUUUUGAGAGUAGAAACAGAAGAGGCAAACGUUGUCUGAGUAGUAUCAUGAAAAUAGUUUGGGCUCUGAGAAAGCAUUUCAAGGGGCUCUCUGGGGUCCUUGGACCACACUCCGAAAACUACUGAGCUACAUGGGAAAAAAUUCAACUUUAGGCUCUAAAGAGACUUCAGCAAAGUUUUGGAUAUAAGAUCAAUGUACCCCUGCCCAAAGCAUUUUUCUUUAGCUGGUAGUGAAUAAUUUAAAAGCAUGUUAGCAGCUAAGGUAGAAAUUAGUAUAGCAGCAAAGUUUAUAUUAGGUCUUUGGAAUUAACAAAAAGGCUUUUAUGAAGAAAAUUUUAAAAUUUAAUUGAAGGAUAAAAUUUUAUUGAAGAUCUUUGAUACGGAGAGACAUUCUGUUCUCUUGGAUGGGGCAGCUUAGCACUAGAGAGAUGUCAGGUUUUCCAAAUCUGUAAACUCAAUACAACUCUGGUUAAAUUUCUAGUUGGAGCUUUUGAGGAACUUGACAAACAUAUUCUAAAGUGUAUGUGAAAGAAAAGAUCUACAAACACCAAGUGAACUUUGAAAAGGAGAACAGAGAAGGCCUUGUACCAGCAGAUCCUGGGGCAUAUUCCAAGCCUCAGUAAUUGGAAUGGUGGGAGACAGAGGCCCAGAAGAAACUUCAAAGGCAGCCCUGCAUCUAAAGGAGGUGGCAUGAAAUAGAGGUGGCACCACAGACUAUUGAGAAGAUGGUAUUGGGAAAGUUAGCCCUAAAUGGAGAAAUAUAAGUGUGGAUUCCUAUGUGAUCCCUGGAAAAACAGGCUCCACAGGCACUUAAAGAUUUACAGCUAAAAAGUACUUGACAUUUGUGUAGUAGGAGGAAACUAUGAAGAAUUUCAUGGCGCAGGGUGGCCUUGGGAUCUUAUUCAGGACCGGAAAGCACAAACCUCAAGACUAAAAUUUAUGAACUUGAAUACAUGCUAAUUAUCUGUUAAAUAAAUCCAUCAUGGCAAAGGUCAAAACUAUUUUCAUAAUAGUGUCUUCCCUUUUCACUCUUACUUGCGUUACUCUGCUCAGGUUAUAGAUGACAUAUUACAAGAUAUUUGAGACAAAUAUAAUUGAUGAGGAGACAAUGGCUAAAAUACACCAAAAGUCUCACAAAUCAAUAAGAAAAAGACAAAAAGCCCCAAAGAAAAGUGGGCAAAAUAUAUUAGUUGACUUUUGCAGGAGGGUUAACAACUAUGUGAAAAGAUGCUCAAGCUUAUCAAUAAUCAGAUAAAGGCAAACAAAAGCAAUAGAUAUUCAUUUGAGAAGAAUUAGAAAGUAGGAUAAUGCCAGUGUUGGCAGAAAUGCAGGAAACAAGCCUCCUGUGUGUUGCAGGUGGGAAUAGAGACAGGCACAGGCAUUCUGGAGAGCCAUCCAGCACUUCUUCCUUAAAUAAAAUAUUCAAUACCUGCAACCUAGCAGUUUCCUCCCAGGUAAACAGUGAGAGCAGUUCUCACCAGAACAAGAGGCUGUGUGUGUGCAUACUCUGUGCAGCCUGGCCUGUGGGGUGGGGAGUUGGAACCUGGCUCUGUGGCUACUAGGAAGGACUGGAUGUACACCUCACAAAAUGGAGACGUGUGCACACGUGACACUGAGGACACAAAUGCCGAACAGAACAAGGGGCCUCAAUAUACAGUUCUGUAUUUAAAUCACAAUUACACACCAUCCAGACAUGCAAGAAGACACUACAUGCAUCACCAGGGCGCGUGCGCACAGUGAUAAAUAAAUUACCCUGGAGCAGCUGUUUACAGUGGAAGGAGAGGAGGACAGAGAACAGCUUUAAAUAGAAAAUCAAAAGAACACAGGGAUGCCUCCCACAGACCGUUAUGGGGUGACAGUGUUUCAUGAAUUUAGGGCUGUGAAUAAUCCCAUGUCCUAUGCAGUAGAGUCCCCAAAGCCAAGAACAAACGAAUGAAUGUGUGUCCUAUACCUCCUCUACCAGGCAUCCUCAGUAGCUUCUAUUUUCAGGAAAUUAAAUUCAAAUUCCAUGAGGCUUUACAAGAUCUGCCCUGCCUACUGUCUUUCUCCUCUCUGAGCUCCCAUCACACCAGCCUUCUACCUAUUUCUCCAACCAGCCAAGUGCCUCAGGGCCUUUGCACCAGCUACUUCUGCCUGGCUCCUUCUUCCCUGUGAUCUUCCCAUGACAGUUUCUUCUCCUCCUUGAGGUAUCACCUGAAAUGCUGCUUGUCAAAGAGACCUCUGCCAUUUUAGUUGGCCCCUCAGUCACUUGCUAGGUGACCACUACAUUUCAAGCUUCUGUAGGCAUAGACUACCCCACAGUAUUUUCUGUCCUUAGGCAUCUACUUAUUUGUUGCCUGCUGGUCUCCUCCACGGAAGGAGGCCCCAUGAGGCGUGUCUGUCUUUUCUACAGGGUCUGCACACGGCGGGUACGUCAUGCAUUUCUGUUGAAUGGCUUCAUUGAUUUGUUGAAUGAAGGAAGAGGCCAGGCCAGCAAAGUGUGCAUCC
rnacentral:lncRNA from 1 species